GCCGGGGCGUCCCCCGCGGGAGCCCGCAGCCACCCGGGACGCGCAUCCAGACGUGGCGCUUCGGACCGGGCACGCUGCGCCCGGGGGCUCGGCGGACCCCGCGUAGCCGCCGCUUCGGAGCUUGUGCGGCGCGGGCUGGCCAGCGGGGCGGCCAGGGCCCGGCCCGCCUCCCCAGCGCCCGCCCGGCUUCUCCCCCUGGCGGUGGGAGCCUCGGCGGCCGCUGGCGACACUAGGCGCACUGAAGCCCGAGCCGAGCCGAGCCCGAGCCGCCGCCGCCGCCGCCGCUGCUGCGCACCGCUCCCGGGCUCCCUCCCAGCGCGCCGGCCGGGGUGUGGGGGGCGGCGGGCCGGAGGGGCGAGGGCGGGCCAGGGGGCGCACACGGGGGUUGGCGCGGAAGACAGGACCCUCAGCCUCGAGGGAGCCCCUAGGUGACCAGGCAAAAUGGCAGUUCCUUCCAGCUGGUCCUCAGAUGGGCACAUCUAUUAGCCUCUGCUCUUGUAAGAAGUUAGCUGCAGAACCCACAUGUGAAUCCUUGUAGGACUCUGGAGAAGAUCAAAUGGGAGCUUAGAUGUGGAAGCUCUUUGGAAACCAAGAAACACUCUGAAAAUGAAAAGGGUGGAAGAGUAAACUGUUCCUGUUUCUCCAUCUUGACAGGAAGCAGAAGUUCUCCUUAGCUGAUUUUUCUUCUUGCCUUAUACUGGGUUCUUUAACACCAGAACAAAAAUAAAUAAAUAAAAGAAUCUUCCAGAAAUUCAUGAAGAGACUUCAGGUCAGGAAAGCCUGAACUUUCUCAUCCAACACCCGUUCAAGUCGGAGGAUGCUGAUUAAUUCAUGAUGGAAAGGUAUCAAUUUCACAGCCCAGACCUCUACAUUCUUGAAAUGCUCUUCUCAUGGGAGACAUUAAAUAAGCUUUGAAUUAACUGAAGAACCAAUGAUGUGAUCCCUGGAUACUGGCAAUUGUUGCCCAAGAAAACCUCUCCCCUUGCUGUGGGACUGCUGGGCACCCAAAUAAUGCACCCAAAUAAUUUGAUAGCUCUUGUUACACAGCUCUUCUUGGACUAAAAGGCCCUCAGCAUUCCUGUCAAUUUCUACACUCCUGAAGCUUCAUCUGGAGACCUCUGUGGAUUCUAUAACUCAAAGACCCAGGCUGACGGCUGGUGGAAUAGCUACCAUCUCAAACAUGGCGUGAUGCUGCAUCAGAGAGAAAAAUAAGCUCUUGCAUUGACAAUGAAAUGUCUACCCUGUAGUGACUUGUGCUUACUUCCACUCACAAGUGAUUGCCCAGAGCUACUUACCUGGCUCCAAUCUACCACUGGGUCAGACGUUUGCUGAAUUCAGUUCUGAGCUUUUGAACCAAAAGCAGAUCUUCAGAACAAGAAACAAGAUAAUAAAAGAGAAACAUGAAGAAACUGAAGAUGAUUGGAGAAAUAUGAAUCAAGAUGAUUAGACCUAGCAGAGGGCUGGCUGGAUGGCAUUUAUGUUGACAAUGGACUCCUACACAGAGGAUGAUCAUGGUCUAGGACAUAAUAGUCAUUCAAUCAUCAUUUCUUAAAUGAUUUUUUAAAACAAGUGAAUGAAUGACCAAUUAUAUACCUUCCCUGAGCCAAUAAAAUAUAUUAAAAGUAUAGGCCUGGGCACAGUGGCUCAUGCCUGU
rnacentral:lncRNA from 1 species